CCUUCGAUAGCUCAGUUGGUAGAGCGGUGGACUGUAGAGAAAAUUCGGAGUGUUGCUUUCAAGUCGAAAUGCACUUGAUCAAACCUCCAAGAGUUGUAAAAGAAAUCCAUAGGUCACUGGUUCAAAUCCGGUUCGAAGGA
rfam:Anopheles melas strain CM1001059_A cont2.2468, whole genome shotgun sequence.